AUUAAUGGCCGCGGUACCCUGACCGUGCUAAGGUAGCGUAAUCAGUUGGCUUUUAAAUGGAGUCAGGAAUGAAUGGAAUAACCGGGUUUAGCUGUCUCCUAACUAUUUAAUUGAAUUUACUGAUCAAGUGAAAAAGCUUGAGUAUUGAAAAGGGACGAGAAGACCCUUAGAAUUUUACUUAGAGUAGGUGUUUUAUGCUUAUAAUUGUUUUGUUGGGGUGACAAAGAAAAUAUAUUUAAACUUUCUUUCAAUUWACAAGCCGAAGUUUUAWUWAAGUAAGAAUAAGGUACCUGAGGGAUAACAGCAUAAUUCUAUAAAUGAGUUUGUGACCUCGAUGUUGGACUAGGAAACUAGCAAGCUAGCCGUUUGUUGUGUUGGUUCUGUUCGGAC
rnacentral:rRNA from 1 species